CGCUAAUGCGGGCAGGCCUACACAUGCAAGUCGAGCGGUAGAGAGAAGCUUGCUUCUCUUGAGAGCGGCGGACGGGUGAGUAAUGCCUAGGAAUCUGCCUGGUAGUGGGGGAUAACGUUCGGAAACGGACGCUAAUACCGCAUACGUCCUACGGGAGAAAGCAGGGGACCUUCGGGCCUUGCGCUAUCAGAUGAGCCUAGGUCGGAUUAGCUAGUUGGUGGGGUAAUGGCUCACCAAGGCGACGAUCCGUAACUGGUCUGAGAGGAUGAUCAGUCACACUGGAACUGAGACACGGUCCAGACUCCUACGGGAGGCAGCAGUGGGGAAUAUUGGACAAUGGGCGAAAGCCUGAUCCAGCCAUGCCGCGUGUGUGAAGAAGGUCUUCGGAUUGUAAAGCACUUUAAGUUGGGAGGAAGGGCAGUUGCCUAAUACGUAACUGUUUUGACGUUACCGACAGAAUAAGCACCGGCUAACUCUGUGCCAGCAGCCGCGGUAAUACAGAGGGUGCAAGCGUUAAUCGGAAUUACUGGGCGUAAAGCGCGCGUAGGUGGUUUGUUAAGUUGGAUGUGAAAUCCCCGGGCUCAACCUGGGAACUGCAUUCAAAACUGACUGACUAGAGUAUGGUAGAGGGUGGUGGAAUUUCCUGUGUAGCGGUGAAAUGCGUAGAUAUAGGAAGGAACACCAGUGGCGAAGGCGACCA
rnacentral:rRNA from 1 species